rnacentral:sRNA from 1 species
UUACGUUUAAAAUACGACAAUCACUAC